rnacentral:rRNA from 1 species
UUGGAGGGCAAGUCUGGUGCCAGCAGCCGCGGUAAUUCCAGCUCCAAUAGCGUAUAUUAAAGUUGUUGCAGUUAAAAAGCUCGUAGUUGAAUUUCGGGGUCAGUAGGUUGGUCAUGCCACUGGUAUGUACUGGUCUCACUGAUUCCUCCUUCCUGAUGAGCCGUAAUGCCAUUAAUUUGGUGUUGCGAGGAAUCUGGACUGUUACUUUGAAAAAAUUAGAGUGUUUAAAGCAAGCUAACGCUUGAAUACAUUAGCAUGGAAUAAUGAAAUAGGACGUUCGAUCCUAUUUUGUUGGUUUCUAGGAUUGACGUAAUGAUUAAUAGGGGUAGUUGGGGGCAUUAGUAUUCAAUUGUCAGAGGUGAAAUUCUUGGAUUUAUUGAAGACUAACUACUGCGAAAGCAUUUGCCAAGGAUGUUUUCAUUAAUCAAGAACGAAGGUUAGGGGAUCGAAGACGAUCAGAUACCGUCGUAGUCUUAACCAUAAACUAUGCCGACUAGGGAUCGGAUGAUGUUAAUUUUUUAAUGACUCAUUCGGCGCCUUACGGGAAACCAAAGUGUUUGGGUUC